rnacentral:pre_miRNA from 1 species
UCCAGUGUCCUGAUCCUGGACCUUGACUAUGAAACAAUUCUUAAAAAAUGCAUCAUAGUCCAGUGUCCAGGGACAGUGCACUCGGA